rnacentral:rRNA from 1 species
AUGACCUACGGGACGCAGCAGUAGGGAAUCUUCCACAAUGGACGAAAGUCUGAUGGAGCAACGCCGCGUGAGUGAAGAAGGGUUUCGGCUCGUAAAUCUCUGUUGGUAGUGAAGAAAGAUAGAGGUAGUAACUGGCCUUUAUUUGACGGGAAUUACUUAGAAAGUCACGGCUAACUACGUGCCAGCUGCCGCGGUAAUACGUAGGUUGCAAGCGUUGUCCGGAGUUAUUGGGCGUAAAGCG